UACAGAGGUCUCAAGCGUUGUUCGGAUUCAUUGGGCGUAAAGGGCUCGUAGGCGGCCAACUAAGUCGGACGUGAAAUCCCUCGGCUUAACCGGGGAACUGCGUCCGAUACUGGAUGGCUUGAGUGUGGGAGAGGGAUGCGGAAUUCCAGGUGUAGCGGUGAAAUGCGUAGAUAUCUGGAGGAACACCGGUGGCGAAGGCGGCAUCCUGGACCACGACUGACGCUGAGGAGCGAAAGCCAGGGGAGCAAACGGG
rnacentral:rRNA from 1 species